AGCGAACGCUGGCGGCAGGCCUAACACAUGCAAGUCGAACGCCCCUUCGGGGGAGUGGCGGACGGGUGAGUAACGCGUGGGAAUGUGCCCUUUGGUACGGAACAACUGAGGGAAACUUCAGCUAAUACCGUAUGUGCCCUACGGGGGAAAGAUUUAUCGCCAUUGGAGCAGCCCGCGUUGGAUUAGGUAGUUGGUGGGGUAAUGGCCCACCAAGCCGACGAUCCAUAGCUGGUCUGAGAGGAUGAUCACCCACACUGGGACUGAGACACGGCCCAGACUCCUACGGGAGGCAGCAGUGGGGAAUCUUGCGGAAGGGGCGAAAGCCUGACGAAGCCAUGCCGGGGGAAUGAUGAAGGGCUUAGGAUUGUAAAAUUCUUUCACCGGGGAAGAUAAUGACGGUACCCGGAGAAGAAGCCCCGGCUAACUUCGUG
rnacentral:rRNA from 1 species